GCUGCGCGGGCGCUCGGGGCGGGCGGGGGCUGAGCGGGCGCAGCGCGGUGGCGCCUGCGCGCUGCGGAGACGGAGAUCUCUCGCGAGGAAGGACGCCAUUAUCGCAGCCGCUCGACAAACACCACGAGAAUUCGGCACCGCACACGGAUUGCAUGACUUGUCCAAUCAGUUCUCCGGGAACCUGCGGUGGUGCGUGACGGGAUAUUGCUGCCUGGUUCUGAAUGAUGUCAGAGCAGGAUCUGGCAGAUGUUGUUCAGAUUGCUGUGGAAGACUUGACUCCAGAUAACCCAGUUGUGUUGGAGAAUCAUGAAGUGACAGAUGAUGAUGUAGAGCCUGGACUGAAACGUCAGCGGAUAGAAAUUAACUGCCAGGAUCCCUCUAUUAAGUCAUUCCUGUAUUCCAUUAAUCAGACAAUAUGCCUGCGGCUGGACAGCAUUGAGGCCAAGCUGCUGGCACUAGAGGCCACAUGUAAAUCAUUGGAAGAGAAGCUGGAUCUCGUCAUGAACAAACAGCACAGCCCCAUCCAAGUCCCCAUGGUGGCAGGUUCUCCUCUUGGUGCUACACAGACGUGCAAUAAAGUCCGAUGUGUUGUUCCUCAGACCACAGUGAUCCUGAACAACGACCGGCAGAGUUCGAUUCUAGCCAAGAUGGUUGGGCAGGAGGAGCCAUUGAGCAGAGCGGCCGAUUCUCUGGAAAAUAUCCUCAGCAACGCGGUUCCCGGCCGCAGGCAGAACACCAUCGUGGUGAAGGUGCCGGGGCACGACGACAGUCACAACGAGGACGGGGAGAGCGGCUCUGAGGCCAGUGACUCUGUGUCCAACAGCGGGCAGUUGGGAAGCCAAAGUAUCGGGAACAACGUGACGCUCAUUACGCUGAACUCUGAAGAGGAUUACCCCAACGGCACGUGGCUCGGCGAUGAAAACAACCCCGAGAUGCGGGUGCGUUGCCCCAUCACCCCUGCGGACAUGCUGCACAUCAGCACCAACUGCCGCACGGCCGAGAAGAUGGCGCUGACGCUGCUCGAUUAUCUCUUCCAUCGGGAAAUUCAGGCCAUCUCCAACCUGUCGGGCCAGGGCAAGCACGGCAAGAAGCAACUCGAUCCUCUCAUGAUUUACGGAAUUCGCUGUCACUUAUUUUACAAGUUUGGAAUCACGGAAUCAGACUGGUACCGAAUCAAGCAAAGCAUCGACUCCAAAUGCCGAACAGCCUGGAGGCGGAAACAGCGCGGGCAGAGCCUGGCUGUGAAAAGCUUUUCAAGACGAACACCAUCGUCAUCGUCUUACAGCGGUUCAGAGGGUUCGCAGGGUUCGGUUUCGGCUUCUACCGAGCUCCAGCAGAACCAGCCGCAGGCGCUUCACUACGCGCUCGCCAACGCGCAGCAGGUCCAGAUCCACCAGAUCGGAGAAGACGGCCAAGUCCAAGUAAUCCCGCAGGGUCAUCUCCACAUCGCCCAGGUGCCCCAGGGCGAGCAGGUGCAGAUCACUCAGGACAGCGAGGGCAACCUGCAGAUACAUCAAGUUCAUGUGGGUCAAGAUGGGCAGCGAAAGCUCGAAGAAACAAGGAGGAAAUUUCAAGUGCGAGAAACAUGUCAAGUGUGGGACGUGGGGACAGAGACACAUUCACCACCCGAGUCCUCGUGCGUGUGUGUGUGUGUGUGUGUGUGUGUGUGCACGUGUGUGCAAGCACCACGAGCCCAACUCUGCUCCAGCUGCUGGAGCCGAUCGAAAAGGCUUUUCCUUAGUUCAGCACAUCUGCUUUGAAUAACCUGCACAGAGAAACAAACAGGAUCGUUACAAGAAAAACAACAAAUUAAAAAGCCGAUAUAGUACAGCUGGAACUUUAAAUCUGCUCGGAUGGUUUUGGAAAAUAAAACCAAAUUAUUAUUUCUAACUGAUGCUUCUUCAUUAAUAGGUUGUACUGAGGUCUUGCAGCUCCGCUCUGUUUUUAGGAGGAAAAAUGAAGAGAAUAGAUUUGAAACAAAAUGUGCUGUAUGGAAAUGUAAUGUAGAAGCACAGUGUAUUUAAGGAUAAAGUCAGAUUUCUUAAAAUACUUAAAUGAGCAUUUUAAUUAAGAUUUUUCUUUUCCUCGAAGAUGGUCCUUUGUGCACAUACACCGUUCCAUUUGGCAUUCUCUAGGAGAGGUGUUUGCACCUUGACUGUUCCUCAAACUACAUCAAACCCACUCACCAUACUUUUUAGUUCUAAAAACGUAGUUUGCUAGAGAAAGCAGCGUUUUAGCAGAUUAAUAUUGAGACAUUUAAUUUUUCAGCAGCUGAGUGGAUUAAAACUCACAAAUAUAUAUGGAUUAAAAAAAAAAAGCUUAAGGAAUACUCCUACUAUUUAGGUGAUCAAUAACAUGCAGAAUGUCUCUAGAAAAAUUAAUAUAUAAGAAAAACAGUUUAUUGCAAAUAACACAAAUAUGUUCCCAUGUUAGGUGUAGUUUAAAUGCAGAAUUUAAAAUGCAUUUGUAGAAGGUUUGCACCUUUUUUGUGGUUGUAAAGCAGGAUAAGAUGCUGUCCAGGGGGAUCACAACUCAGGUCCAGCAUCCUUGUCACCCUCGGUGUGAGAUUCCCCAGGCGAAUCUGUACGAAUCUUUUACUCCAAGUUAUUAUAUUUGACAAUAGAACAACAAAAUUCUUCUACUCCAAUAUGAGGAGACACAACUUGGGGAAAAUAGCAUCUUUUAGUGGUAGUCAACAGAACAGAAAAUAGGAAAAAACCCAAACAACACAGAAGGGGAACUGCUGCUUCAGAGAUAUUGAUGGGAAAAUGCAUUCUCUGUAGUUCCUGAGCGCAAAACUAAUUCUGAUAUUUAAUUGAAAAUUCUCAGUGUUUUUUACUACUUAAUGUAUCCACUUCCAGGGAGCGUGAUGAGGUUUAGAAGCUCAUUGAAAGUCAAGAGGUCCUGCUCUAUAUGACGAACAUUUCUGAAAAGCCCCCGUGUCGCAGAUUCGGGGAUUCUGGAUCAUUCGCUUAAAAAUUCAAAUGCAGUUUUGGUGGCACGAGCGUUUCUCUCCAUGUUUGUCCCGCUGGUCUCUCCACCUUUCAGCUGCCUCGAAGAGUCUGAAAGCGAAUGCACUUUUUUAGAACAACAAGAAUAUGUGCUGGUUCUUUGUGUCUCAUUGUGCUUCUGUCCUUGUUAAUUAUGUACAGUUUCAGAAAUGAGUUAUUGGCUGAUUACCUUCACUAAUCAGCACAGAAAGCUGUAGCCAAUAUUGAAAGCCACCAUCACCUGAAAGUAGUUUCAACUUUAAUUUUUAUGGUUUUAAAUUUCAAAAGGUGUAUUCUAUUUUCUUUGUUUUCUUUAAAGAACGGGAAGCCUGAAUAUUUCGCUAGCACGUUAUUUUUAAGUUUCUCUGACUUAACUAGUGAUUAAUAGCUUUUAAAAAUUCUUUUUAGAUUUAAGGUAAAGAAAAAAGACAGGAGUCUUUGUUUUUUAUUUUGAUAAGACUUCCAGUGCAUUAACCUGACCACAUCCAGUAAUUUUGGUCACUUUUUUUAAUUGCUUGAAAAUGUUUUUCAACACUUUCCUUCAACUAAGUUUUGUUUAAAAGGGGGUGGGAGGGAUGUCCCAGGCAAAUUGUGAGCAGUGCACCCAACAAUACCUAAUUGCUGCUAUUCAUACAAGUCUUCUCCUUCACCUUGUGGAGAUUUAAGUGGUUUUUCUUUCCAUUGUGCUGUCCCCAUCUUCUUAUUUAUGGCACAUGCUGCUGGGAAGCCAGUAAAAGAAUCUUUAGUACCUGAGAGUCAGUGGCAUCACAUCCCUGAAGAUUUUAUUGGGUCAUAAGUUUAAUUUGCCAACUGGCUGCAUUUAGUUUUAUUGUUUUGCUGUUUUGUGCCAGAAGAUAAUGCUUGAUUUUUAUGGAGAAACCCAACCACGUCCAGGUUUGGUACAUCACUGAGAGCAGGAUCCUGAGCUGCGUCAGCAGGAAACUCCUUUUUUCCAGCAGCACGGCCCAUUCUCAAGUGUAGGAAUUGUUACACCUGCCAUCAGCACUUAAACAUUUCCCACAUGUUUAUUCCUGUAUUUUCCAUUCCGAGACAUAGUGGGUGUACAUUGGCACCCCCUUGAAGUAGUUUAGUCCUUUUGAAAUUGGAUGUUAUGUCAUUGAUCAUAAUAAAUGUUAAUACAUCCCCGUUUUCAGAGCGCUUAGCAGGGACUCCUAGAACCUCCACCUCUUUUGCAAGUGUUGUUUAAUUUGGUGUGAAAUGGGUGAACGAGCAGACAAGACAAAACGAGGCCUUGCCCUGAAAAUGUGCGGAAAAUGUCCAGUUUUGCUUUUUUAGGAGUUUUUGUUUGGUUGUAUCGGGUAGUAACGGCAGCAUUUCCCAGCCUUUUCAAUACUGAACUAAAAUCAGCUAUUUAAUGCCAGCUGCUAGGAAAUAAAUAACAGCUUGGGUGAAUUUUCUUUAUGAAAUUUCCAACUAUUGAAAAGAGUCUUUCAUGGGCUGGUUGCUGAUCCUGAGUGCUGGGUUAACCUGGUUUCUUUUAACCAGCCUUGAGUAGGGACUGAUUAAAAGACUCUUUGCAAAAUUAGCAAAUAUUUUUGCAUUUUCUUCUCUCACCUUCAUGAAAUCAAAGGCAGCACCUUUGUGUGAGCGACUCUCACACAGUCGUGCCCUUAAUGUGCAAAUGAAUUGAUCUGGUGUGUGGGGAAGUUUUCAUCUCCGUGUAACAGGGGGUGGAAUGACAACUUUAUGGUUCUUGUGAGAUAGAUGUAUUCAGAUUUUACAUGUGGGAAGGGAACAAGGAAGAAAGAAACAGGCUGGACUAAGAUUCUCAGGCAUGGAAGAAAGGAAAUUACUACUUUGGAGAUGAAGCAAGUAUUGAGUUGGUUUAAUGUGCUUAAGGUUUGGUGUGUGGAUAUUUCGAUGUUGUAGUCUAGCAAAGGUUGUUAAUUGUUGUUAUAUCAGGUGCUGAACUGCAGAUUAAAAGGUGAGUUUAGAAAAAGCCUCUGCCCUGUACCCUCUGCAGUUCACCAGCGCCCAUCGCGUGCAGAGGCCUGGGCUGAGCCUUAGAAAGCCAAGUUUUGUUUUACUAUUUGGUAAAAGAAUGAGCAUCCUUGGUCCAUAGGGCUUCUCAAAAAAUGCUCAGCUGUCUUUUAAAUUCCUCAUCAGCCACUUUAUUUGCUGCCAUUUGCUCUGAUUUUUAUGUGAAGUCCUUGGCCUCGUGGGCAGUUGUUGUGGUGAUGCCUUAGUCUGGCAGUGAUAACACUUCGUCUCAUCCAGGUUCUCAGUUUAGCACCCGAGAGAUAACACCUAGAAAAGUUUACAGUUGCCUUUCUAAGAACUUUUCCCCCAUUUUAAUUAUCAUUAAUUACCAUAUAUCAACAGCCAUGCCAUGUUCUGUCUUCUUUUUUGGUCUUUUCUAACCUGGACCCAGCCUACCUUUAUAAGCUGAAAAAAAAAUCCCUGCAGAAGGCAAAGUAAACAAAGUCUCUGGCAGCAAAAUCUCUAUUUAUAGCAUUUCCUCGGUCACUUCAGCUUUUGGCGAAGUGUGACAAUAAAGAAAUAGCUCCCCGUUCAUAAGCGCAGGUUGCAAUUUGCCCCCGUUUUCAUGCUGCGUUUCAGUGACGCAGGUAAAGAUUUGUUUUGGGAGCAAACAGUAAAUUCCAGCAGGUCCUUGGCUGUAAGCACAUAAUAUAAUGUCUGUGCUUUAAACGUAUUUUUCCCCAGCGCUUCUUAAGAUUUAGACAUUAUGUCACACAACUAUUUUAGUCUCUGUUCACAAGUCCCAGUCCCAGGACAAUAUCUCCUCGCACCGUUACCUUUCUCACAUCACAGAUUUUGUUGUUUUUCUUUGGCUCGCUGAUCUAAAGCAGUAAAAUGUACGGAGAUACGUUAAAAUCAGCCAUUAUUUUAAUACUGAUACGUAUUAGGAUUUUUUUUUUCCCCAAUUAUUUGUUUCUAUUUGUAAAAACGUUCCGACUGGUGGAAAGAAUUAAUAAAGGUGAUUUGUGAAGCUCUUAUAGGUACUUUGAUUCAGUGAUCUGUGUGUGGUUGUAAAACGAGCCUGGUUAAUGGAGCUUUUGGAAAAGGAUCAUAUUUUCUGUCAUCUUUUUUUCUAUUUUUCUUCUAAGAGGGCGGGUUGUUCCAUUAAAAUUCCAUUCAAGCAGACAGGAGCAUUUAUAAUGCUCCAAAGAAUAUGUUCUCUAUUUGGAGUAUAUUAUGUUCUUUAUUCACCCAAAUCUUGUUUUAAUAUUGCUGUAAACUUAAUAAUAAGAGAUGAGAUAUGAAGUGAUAAUCUUUUAAAUAUAAGGAAAAAUAAUUUUCUCCACCUUCAUAGAAGGCAUAGGUCUGAGCUGUCUCUUAUUAGAGAUUUUGGUAAUAAAAAUCUCCGCUUGUAGAAUAGCAGCCAUCACAAAGCUAUCUUGCUGUGCUAAUCUAGAGAAAUCAUUUCUUUUUGUUUUGUUUAUUUUUUUUUAGUGCUCUUCAUUUAUGAUUUUUUCUCAUCAUGUGAUAUGAGCUCUGUCUUUAUGCUGCGGAUCUGCCCUCAUCCCAUCCCCGUUCCGCUUGAUAUGCUCUGAGUUCCCCGCUCGGUUAUUUUCAAUAUCAGGGACUUGCGUGUGUUCAGAAAUCACUGCCCCGCAUCCCAAAUUCCAACCCAAGAAGGAUUUUUUUGGGGGUGGUUGGUACAAUUAGGUUGUCAGUGCCCGUGAUGGGUUGAUACUGGGUAUGUUCUAAUUGGAAUACUCUUGGCUGGAUCCCAGCCCCCCUCGCAGCCGCAGCCCCUGGUGAUCACUGAGCUGCUCAACGAGGGGAGAUCUCGUUUCAUCCUGACGAAAAACAAAAUGAGUGUGUGCGUGUGUACGUGUUGUCAGGUCACCGAACGGCGAGGAUAAAGUUCAGGCCAUUAACAUAAUUAAUCUCUCCAGUAUGUGCAGCGCAGCGGUAAAUCUUGCUGACUUAAAUCUGUUUCCAGAUUUCCGUAUUGUCUGCCUGGGUUAAAUGAAAUGAUCAAUGGCGUUUUGUGAUAUUUCAUUUUUGCGCCCGAUUUAGGUGUCUGGAGAUGGGAAAUGUCUCCCCUUUUUUGUCUCCUCUCCACUAAAACAAUGACUUUUUCCCUUUUAAAAACUAAACCACAGGGGCUUGAUUGCACAUGGAGAACCAGCUUAUCUUUUUAGAAGAAAACCUGUGUGAUUUACACAGGGUUUUAACAAUAUAGUGUUAAACGUGGUGAGGUUUGACCAGCUGAUUGACUUUUCUGUCUGUGGUCCAUGUAUUUAAUCUUUUCCAUAGUUUUAAUAUAUUUUCAGUCUAAUUUUCCAGAAUCCUUAAAAUAUUUCAAACUAGCUGAGUGAAUAGCUAAUAAAUUGGAAAAGGACAAUCAAAGAGCUGAAUUUUGUGAUUUGUAUGCUGACUUGGAACAAGCCGUAAACGGUGCCAUAUAGUUCACUGGAUUUUUUAAUAGUUAACAUGUUUCUAUUUCAAGCACAUCUAUUACAAAAACUAAAAGAUGACCGCGUUGUUUGUGUUAGACACUGAAAUCCCACAUCAGCAGCACUGUUUUCAGUUCUGAUCUCAGAUGCCUUUUUAAUCAGCUGAGAUUUAUUUACCGUGAGUAACGUUGGGAAAGUACGGCUAGAAAAUCAGCCACUGUGUCUUACCUCAGCCUUCUUUAGUGUUCUGUGAACAAAAUUCUUCUUUGUAGAAUAAGUACUUUAAAUUAUAAACUUGCUUCAUUGUAUUUGCUCCAAUCUGCUGGGGUUAAUUAUCAUAUACUGGCCCCAGCAGUACAUGAAUAUUCUUUUUCUUUAUGGAAACUCUGGGCUCUGACCAUGGUUGAGCUAUGAAUGAAUCUGUUUUAUAAAUCACUUAAUUUUUUUUUUUUACAACUAUUUUUAUUCCUGAAAUAUGUCGUUCCGUGCUUCUGGAAUGUUGCUAAAUAUUUGUGUUAAACAGCAAUACAGAGUUCACCGGGAGGAAGUGUUAGAAUUCAGUUAUUUACCAUGUUAGUGUGAAUUUUUGUAGGUAACUGUUUUGCUAUACGUGGAUCAUAAUGACUCUGAAAAUGAGGUAUCAGUGGUGACACAAAAGUAUGGUCUUCAAAUCUUACCCUUAGUUUGCCUGUGGCUUCCAAGACUCUCUCUGUGUUACUUCUGAGUUGGUUCUACAGCAUUGACUCCAAAACUGAGAAAUUUCCUGGGUUUCUGAGGGUUGCAGAAAUUACUGUAAAAAAUACUGAUCAGUACUUUUAAAUUCCAGAACUGUGCUGUGAGAUUUUUGAUUGUUGAGUUUUUCUUUUUUGCACGUGGCAGGUAUUUCAGCAUUUCACAUAAAUAACAGCAGGAAGACAAACAGUGUUCAGGACAGGACAUCUGUGCUGUCAGCAGGAAGGUCGGGUGGUAGAAAUGGGUUUUAAGCAUAGAGAAAAGAGACCGUGUCCCGGAGUUGCUCGCAGAUUUGCCAAAAGUCAACAGAAUUUUUGUCGGUGCUGCUCACCCUGUGUGUAUUUUGCACAGCCCUGUACUAACGGGUUGCGUUUUGGUGUGAGUCCAGUUUGUAAAUCUCAUAAAGGAACAACUGUUCUGUGUAUCUGUGCACUAACAGGACGCUGAUCUUCAGAGGUGUGUGGUAAAAUACCAGAUUAUUUUACUCUUUGGUGGGUAUUUUUUCAUUAUUGAUGAUGGUGUGUCCUGCUCUAUCUGAAACCUGAAGAAAUGAGAGAUUGGGAAAUCAUCUGCUUUUAAUGAAACAAAGUAUGACUUAGAUUUGCAUAAUGGGAACGGAACUGUCAAAGCCAUUUGUCACUGGCCUAAUUAUUUUGCAAGUGGUGCUAACAGUUCUGUCAUUCUUUGGAGUCCACUCGGUUCGACGCUGAAUUCUUAACAAGAGUAAAAAGUCACUCAUGAGUUUCAUAAGUACAUUGUGUGACCAUUUAUGUAGGUAGAGACUUAAAAGCCCCAGAAAGGAGGAGCAGAUGCACCCUGUUCCAUGGAGAUGUUCCAGAUUAAGGUGGUUUUAAUUUGCGUUCAUGUACUUUAUCUGGAGUAGGUAAAUGGUAGCUGAGGAAAUCCAUGAUUCUGAAUAAUUGACCUGGAAGCAGGUAGAUAACAUUUUUCAGGUGGCACUUUCUCCGGUUCUUUUAGAAAAUACCAUUAUACAGUAGCAUUUUAUAGGUAUAUCAGUUGCAAAUGUCUUCAUUAGAAAUGUAGAUCAUGUGCUUUGAACAAUGCAAGUCUUGGUUUAGCAAUAUCUGUAACUUUCUGGAGUUAGUUUAGUGAAGAUAUACAGACUCUUUAGUUUCCCAUAUACUGAAUAGUGUAUUUUUUGUUAUGGAGGGAGGAAGAAGGAAUGUAUUUGGAGACUGCUGUCAAACUUGAUUUUUAAUUUUUUAAAAAAUGUGUCAUAGACCUUUAGAAGAGUAGAAUUUAUUCUCUGGUUGUGUAGAUGGCUUAAUGGGAAACGAAUGACACACGAAGAACAUCUGAAGUCAGAAUCGGACCCUCUUUUUCUAUGAACAUAACUAUUUUUUCUUUUUUAAUGGUAACACAUUUAAAGCUUGUAAGGCUUCUAGAAACCCGGGUUAAAUACCGCUGCAUUUUAAACGUCCUUCUCACUGCACAGUCAUCCCGCAUCACUCGUUUUUCUGCAAAGCUCUGCUGCAAACUUGCAGCGAAGCUCGCGGAGUCGGAGGAGUAAAAGAAUUCCUAGAAUGUUGCAAAAGAGUUGACGGAAGGGACAGUGUUGGUGCUGUUGAUGUGGCUGCCAGCAGCAGCACCGCCAGCGCCUUAAUGCGACUCUCUGCUUUCCUGCAGCGUUUUCGACGUGCGAUCGCGCGAUGCCGAGCCCUCCAAAGCGGGAGCUUUCUCAGCUUUGCUCCAGGCUGAUGGUUUUAGCAGAGUUUUAAUUUUAUUUCCCGUUCUGUUACAUCAGAGCAAGCCAAAUGCUUUCAUAAGUAUUUAUUGCGUGUUUUAUAAUUUGUCUCCUGCCUGAAAGACUAAGCUUCUACUUUCAGCCUCCAUCUAACAUCUAUAUAAAUUAUAAAAUUAUAGCAGUGCAAUCCUACUCCUCAGACUUUGUCAGUACUGGCUGAAAGAGAUUUUGACUCCCCAUUGUUUCUCUCCUUAAGUGAUUGAAAUUUCCAGGCAAAUCUAUAGUUUUUCCUCUUCAGGAUUUCCUGGGAUGAAAAAUUUCUCAUCCUUUUAACUGUGGGCUGGUGCAUAAUUGUAAAAAAGGGAAGCAUAGUUCAUAAAGAAAAUCAAUGCUAGUUAAAUUAUCCCCUUAAAGUGAAUAGUAUCUUUUUCAGUAAGUUCUGCUCAUACCCAGAAAACACACCAGAGAAGCCGGUGUGUUCUGUAAUGGCACAUGGUGUCCAGCACCUCUUGUUCUGAGCAAGAAAAGAACUUGAAAGUCACAGACUUCAGGCAUUGUGGUGAAUUGGUUUGGUUUUUAUUAGUCAGACCUUGAUGUCAGUACAACAAAUGACAUUUAUUUUGAUUUUUUUUUUUUUGCCGAAUUCAUACAAAUGCCAUAUUAAUUCCAAAUGUCGAAUUUGUUGAGAAUUGCGUUUUUCCAUUUCAAGUAAAACGUUUUAUUAAGAUGAUAAAUUGAUUUGUCAUCUGUUUGCGUUUUUUACUGUAAUUAUUAUUAAAACAGGAAUUGGUGUGAAAGGUUUGAAUGAAACAAGAAUCCGUGCUUUUUGCAACCCAAGUGAGUGCAAAAAUGAAAAGCUGAAAAAUCCCCAGGCUUCCUCUUCCCUGGUUUGGAAAGUUCUUUCUCUAUUUGCUUCAGUGAGAAAAACUGCAAUAUAAUAAGCAGUAAAAAUAGGGAAUUAUGGGACAAAAACACAGAAAAACAUUUAAUUUUGGGGUAUUCAAGCCAAAAUAUGUCAAAAUUAAGUGUUUUUGUGAAGGGAAAAAUACAAGACAAAAUUGUUUCCAGUGUUAAAAAAUGAUCCAGUCUGGUUUAGAAUCAUCUUAUGAAAGAGUAUGAACUUGCUGAGCGAUAAUAACACCGAUAGCUGCCCCCGUGGGGCUGUGAUGUAUUUAGUUUUAUGGCCCAUUAUGUUUUAUGGUCCAUAUGACAUUAUCUGCGCUGUUUUUCAUCGCAUGGCGCUGGAGGGAACGAUUCCUGCCAGGCUGUAGCAGCAGCAAGAGCUCGUGUUCAAAAGGAGUUAUUUCUGUUGAAUUUUACAAACAGACGUGGUCCUUAUUCCUGGGAAAUGAAGAAUAGGUGCGUAUGCAGGUUCUCUCAAGCGUGUAGCCCAUGUGGCUCAGUUGUAGGUGCCAUGGAAUUUGAAUUAAAACAAACCAAACCAGCCAAACAAAAAACCCAGAAAAACCCCCAAACAAACAAAACAAACAGAUAAAAUCCCUCCAAAACCAACCAAAACCCAACCCAUAAAACAAGAACCAGAAGACAGCAGCAGCGACUUCUCAGUGGUGACCGUGCUCGAUGCAUUGAGCUUGUGAUGCGUUCUUAGCAAAGAUUGCUUUAGAAUUCCACUUUUUCCUUCCCGUCUGUGAUUGUGAUGGACAGCGCAAAGAUUUAAGUCUGUAGCUGGGAGAAUUGUUUUGAGAAUAACUACUUUAAAAAGGAAAAUAUUUGGAGGAACAGUUGCCAUAUGCCUCUCUCAGGGAAGCCUGUUAUUGAACUAGUGUUGGGGAUGAUGGUGUCAUAGCCAGCUCGGUAGUUACAAAAUACACAUUUAAAAUGAUUUUCCCUGACCGAUCAAUGCUGAGAGGAAUUGAAAGACCAGUUUAAAGGCAUAAUUAGGCAGCUGUGUGCUUUCACAGAAAGACUGUAUGUGCUGGAAAGGAAAUCUACUGUCGAAGGAAAAUAUUUGGUUUCAGUGAACAAAGUUUUACAAUCUAAUAAUAAAAAAAAAGAGCUCUAGGGCAAGGUUAAGAGCAGAGCGGUGUUCUGGGGCAUCCCAAGACAUUUGAUUUCCUCACCGCUGAUGAUUCUGGCCGGGAUGGUUUUGCAAACACAAACCACGUGUUGUUAUGAAACUGUCACCUCGAGUGUGAAUGUGUCAGAGUUGAGACCAGCCCGUAGUCAAGAUCAAGGAAAACUCUGCUCCCUCCAUUAGAAAAACUGCAGGAAAUAAGUAACACUUAAAAAUAAAUAUAUGUAUUAGUAUGAGAGAAUUUGGCUGCAUGAAUUGCACCGGUGUCGUCUGUGUAGCGAAGGAGUUUGUUGUCAUGUAGACGCUUGUGGCGCUGGUGGGUUUCGUUUGAUACUAGACGUGGCCAGCGCCUCAGUUACUGAGACCUUUGGCUGUUAAAUAUUUCCUACAUCUUCACAUGUGUCAGUGGACAUGAGGUAACUUUUCUCUAAAAUCUUGGUUUUAAAUUAUGCCAGAGAUGUAACGUGUCUUUUAAGUUACAACGUCCCAUUGUAACCUCAAAAAUAGGGGAGUUGAACAGAACCCAAGGAAACGGAGGACCCAGAUGCCUGUACAGGUGAGGCUGGAUUAGGUGCAUCCCCUUAAAAUAAGCAUAAACCUUAUUUUUAUAUUUUGAAAGCAGUGUUGAUAGGUAGCAGGGAAACUUUGGUUUUGAAAGUACGGGCUUGACAGAAGCCAGUUCUCUGACUUGCACAGAUUUUGCACAGACCUCUCUGGUACUAGAAUAUUGUAUUGCAUGUGAGUUAUAAAUUUAUUGCUUUAGAAUUAUUUUGACUCUGGAUUUUUUUUUUCCUUGUGGAAAAAUAGGCACGGAUCUUCUGAGGACUGCAUAGUACUAUCUUAAGAAUUAGCUUCAAUAAAACCCUUCAUUUUUGUGCAGUUCUUUGAAGCCUUUUUGGGCUGCUUUCUUUAGGUCAAAAAGUCAACUUUCUCUGCUCUCCUACAUUUUUAUUUACAAUAGUCAUCCAUAUGUCUAAUCAGGGGCUGGUUUCUCCCUCAGGAUAGUCUUUGGCAUCUUUUUUCUUUAGUUGCUCCAGGAAAAGUUUGGCUCCUUAAGAAUCUUCUUAUUUUGGCUGUGCUUUGGUUUCCCUUGGUCUCUGUUCCCACAGCCCCAUCAAACGCCGCCUCCCCGGCUCCUUUUUGCUGAAAUUCAUGAACGUACCUUGCUGGUUCCUUUGAAGUACCCUCAUGCCACUUUUGCAGAGCUGGUUUCAAAGACUGAAACGGCUUUUCUUAAAUUCAGAGGGAUUUGGGUAACUCGGUCCCUGAGGCUCCUUAGCGGCCGCCAGGUAAAACCUGAGCAGCUCCGUCACUGUCGGGUUCCAGCUCCUUCAUCCCAGUGCGGGCAGGAGCACAAAGGUUCUGGCCCAACGCCAUUCGUGUGAUCCCAAAUUAUGACUUCAUGUAAAAAUCACAGCGUUUCGGUCUGAGUAGUAAUUUCUCAUUUUCUGCUUGAUGGUUUGAUGUUGCUGUGUUAGCGCCGUUUAAGUUGAGUCGCUUGAGGCUGCUUUCCCCAUCGAUAUAGUCUUCUUCAUUCUAAAUCAGUCCUGUCAAUGUUAUAUAGUCAAUCCUUCCCCCCUGUACUUCCUUGGAAGCAACAAGACCACAAAUGUGCACAUACAGUCUUUCAGAAAAUCUCAUGUGAUUCCAUGUGGUACGAAGCAGGAAAAGAAAAUAGAAGAUAUCCUCACUGGGAGAAUGGAGGAUGUAAAACACACAUCAAGUUGAAGUUUGCCCGGUGUACAGGAAAGUUUAAACAAGAAUGGACUGAGUACAGCAAAAAGAAAUAGAGUUGGUUUUCACUCACUUGAGACACCCAACAAUUUUCUUUCAACUCUGAAAGGGGAAGGUAACUGUGAAAUCGGGUGGAAGAAAUUGGAACGGUGCUGCAUUCCAGUCAGGUCUGAAACACAAGGCAGAGGUGUGUUUUUACCUUCUAAGAGAGAAGGCACUAAAAGUGGUUGAAAUCAUAGAAAAUCCUGCAAGUAAUCAAAGUCUCAAGAACUAUUUUUUUCAAAUUGGAAUGAUUUUUGAAUUGCUUCUGUGAUAAGAGAUUAGAUCAUUGUAGCAACCUGCUGGAAGAGCCUCUGAAGCAAAAUACUUUUCAAAGCAGUAGAAUUUGUCAAUUGGUUUGUGGUAAAAACUGUGGAUAUGGCUCUGCUGCUGUGGCCAUGAGGAAGAACACAAAAUACUACAGGACAAGAGACCUGCAGCCACAAACCACAGGGAUCAUAGAGCUGGAGUCCAGCAGAAAUGUGUUAAAUCAUUUAUUUUGUUUAAUCCAGCAGUUUUUCCUCCUCACAAGGACAACAGGGCCAUAAGAAGAGCCCAUAAAAAGCAUCAUUAUAUUUUUAUUUGCAUUUUGAUCUUUUUGAAAGAGUCCGUUUGCUCAGAUAAUCAUUUGAGUUCAGUUCAACACCAGAGAUGCUCUGUCGAAAAUUAUAGCAUGGUUUUGAUAGCAGAGAGCAGCGAUGGCCAAUGGACAGCCCAGGGGGACAAUUUGGCCUGCCAGAAGUAUUUAUUCACUGCGUGCAUGGUCGUUGCAGCAGUCUCGUCUGUAUUUAUAUGCUCGAAAAAAUCUCUUUUGAGUCUCAGCAGCACUGUCGCUAUAUUUGGAUAUGUACUCAGCUGGGAGGAAAGGCGAUAAAUAUUAUAACACGCUGGAGUUAGUCUGACUUGUGGUCAGCAGAGCUUGUGUACUGGAAAGGGCCCCAUGGAGAAGGAGAUGAUGUGUGGCUUGAAGCGAAGAUGUUUGGGUUGUGGGUCAGCUUGUGCGCUGGGAGAGGAGCAGGAGCGGAAAAGGGGGAUGUCUGGAGGUGGGGGACAGAAGGGCAAGCGAGGGCAGGGGGGAGGAACAAAGGACAUGGCUCUGCCGGGGUUGUGUUGGGUGGGAUGGGUCCAGGGCUGGUACGUGUGGGAGGAGAGGAGCUGGAUUUGGGUGUCCAGAGUAGUGGAUUUAGAAGAAGUUGUAUAGCUGAGUUUAAAGUUUGAAAAAGACACGAGAAAGAAAUCUCCAUGUAGAGUGUCAAAUCCUUGUGGUGUCUGUAACACGUUUGGAGAAGCACAAGAUUGUGGAGAAAGGUCCCAGUAAUGGUGUGGCUGUUCCUGCUGUGCUGUCCUGAUGGACUAGGAGGAGAUGCACGAGAGAUUCCUAUGUGAGAAAUUGUCUGAAUCAGCAGCCAAAGGAUGCUGAUGGGUAAAGAAAACUUACGGGCUUGAUUGCAAAUCCACAAAUUCUGCACCCUGACCCCCCAACCCCAAAACAACCAAACCAUAGGAAGCCCCAGAACUGUGACAGUACUGAAAUAACUUAAGUUUUCUGCCUUUGUACUCUUCUUUUCUCUCUGUGUGAUCAGAACCAAAGCUCAAGAAGUGGUAUGUGUGGUUGCUAAAAAAAUAACUAUGCACUGGUACAGUCAAAAAGAGGAGGAAGCUUUGGCUUUAACAACAGCUGUAUGAAAAGUUGUUGUCAUUUGUCUUUGAGAGACCAACUGACCAUCAGCCACCAAAUGGUAUUGCCAGAUGGGUGAUAUCCCACUAGAAUGUAUAAAGGUUGCUCCUUUGACUGCAUAUACAAUUAGCCAAUGAAACACAAAACUAUUAGACGUUUUCUGUUUGCAGACAUUGUUUCUCGAGCUUUUGCCAAAAAGCACAGUGGAACAAAGACCAGAGUUAAAUUUAGUACAUGUCAACCUGAUCAAAACCAACUAUGCACAAACAAAGACUGUCCAGAUUCAGACACAAUGUGGCCUGUACUUGCCAGAGCUACCAGAGAGGAUGGGAUCUUGCAGAAAGUACUUAAAAUUACAACUAUUACAGCAGGAGGCUCGAGGCAGCAAAUCUCCAGUGUCAGCGUGUGAAUUCAGGAGGCCUGGUAAUGACUAGAGGAGUUUUUAUUUAAAAGUAGCAAACUAGUGUUUUCAUUGUUUUGUUCAAAAAAAGCGUUUAAAGAGAUACACUAUGCCUGUUAAGUCUUUUUUAUUUGUUUUAAUCUAGAAGUUCAUGUUACCCUCAGAUGUGUUAAAACCCUUGCACACCAGCCUGAAAUCGCAGAAUAGCAGCAAUGAAGCAUUGAGUGUCACCUCUUGACAUUUUGUUCAAGGGGAGAAUGAAAACAAGAGUGUCUACACUGCAUAGAAAGUGAUGUCUGAAAGACUUGGACUGGAAAGAUCUCGUAAGACUAAUAGAUUAUAACAGCUUUGGUUUUGUGUUAUGAAGAUGACACCGUGUGGGUCUGUGGUGGGAAGGGACGGUUACACGGAGCAGGGAUGUCUCGUGAGCUUAUCCCAUGGUUGUGGGUGAGAGUCACGAUACACAGUAGAAGAAGACAGAUGCACAAAUUCCAAGAGAUAAUAAAAGCGAUUUUACCAGAAAAUAUUUCAAACAAACUGGGGCUGUAGGAUGAGACCAUGAAUGCCACCUUGGCGGUACCUUGAGAGAGCCCAGAAGGCUCAAGCUCUGGCAGAGAGAGUGUUUUCCUAACUAAACAAUAAAUAGCAUAACCACAAGGUUGACUAUAAAUAUUUCACGUUAAGUUAAUGGUGCUCUUUAAACCUCCUAAUGUGUUUCUGAGUUCUGACUUGGAACGGGGGGAAUGUGAUCUUUGGGACUGGGACUUGUAACAGCCGAGCUUCCCUGGGCUGGGCCCUGGGCAAGGCCUUGUCAAACGCUUUGGCCAGUUGGCCGGGCCGGCAGAGCCAACUGUGCUCAGCAAGUGUUUCAGCAAAGCCACCACACGAGCCCAGAUUGUUCCAGCUCCUUAAAUUUUCCCCUCGAGCUGAUCUUUUAAUUUAGGAGAAAUAAACUCUUCCAGCUGCAUGCAAUGUCCUGUGUUGUCUUGUCACCUUUCCCUUUGAGUGCUGCCUGUCUGUAUCUCAUCAGAAGGAGAAAAUUGUGAUCACGGGGUCCUCACAGCUUUUCUUCCUUCUGAAGAGAUAGAUAUGUCGAUAAGCGUUUUCACUCACGUUGUGUCAAUUAAUACUAUGAGGUUGUUCUCAGGGUAACUUCAGACAGCCUUUAUCUUUUACAUCUUCAUGGUAGUGUUUGUGUAUCAAUGUUUACAGGGAAUCGUCUUCACAACCGUCCGUGUAUUAUCUCUCAAGCAGAUUUUAUUCAUUAAGCCUCUUUCAACCACAGAACUGAUCAGAAUAUGAAGUAUUUCACAACAGAGUAAACAAAGGCAAGUUUGCGGUCACAAGUAUCCGACAUGUUCUCCCCCAGAGGCUGGGAACCACUGGUUUCACGUUCUUGUCGUUGCUGCGGCUUUUAAUUUCCAUUGCUUGCAGGCUCAUUGGAGCAGGCAGGGUGAGGAUGGAAGAUACCAUAAAUUUCUCAGCAUUUAAACUUGGGGAGUGUGAAUCAUUUCUUUCUUGGAAUAACUUUAAUAGAAAACUGGAAUCCAACCUGAUGAGAAAAACGUGCAAAACCUUUUAUUCCUUUUUUUUUUUUUUUCUUGUUUGAAUGUUUUUUUUUCCGACUAUUUUUAUCGUGAACGCUUUGAGAAACCUAAGAAACUUCGAGUUGUAACACUUACACAAUUCGAGUGCCGUAAAGAAGUGUUUUGUUAGGAGUUUUUUGUAAGGAGUGGUAGAGUUCCAGCCAAUUAGAAAAGAAAAUUAUUUGUGUCUGGGAUAGUUUGCAUUAGAUUUUAAACAAUUUCUGCAGAUUAUGGAAGGUUGGAAAUUGGUUGGAUUUCCUUCUGAAGAGAUGUUAUGUUUUUUCUAAUAUAUUUUACAGCAACAUCAGAUGUCAAAAGCGUAAGAGAGCUUAUAUCUCACAGGAGUUUACCGAUGUGUUCAGUAAUUCCCUGGUUUUACAAGAAGCAGUGGAUUAUAUUCACUUGAACCUUACUCAGUUACUAUGUCAUUCUUUGGAUGUUUUAUCUUGAUGAUUUCAAAAUACUGAACAAGUGAAAAACAUCACCAGCUCUGUGAAGAUCAGUUUAGUGACUCCCAUUCCUAAAAGAAAUAUUGACAUACUUUGUUGUUUUAGGCCUUGAAUUUAUGGUUCUUGGGGACGUAGUCCAUUCCUUCACGUCAUAUAAUCUUCUGAGUGCUGAACAGAAAGCCAAAAGUGCUACUUCUCAAAUUCUGUGCUAAGUGUAACUGUAGAAAAAAGUAACUUUACUUAUGGGCAUGAAGAAGUACAGCCACUAAUAGAGUUUACGAAAUAUGUGAGGUUAUUACUGCAUUACAAAUCUUCUUAAUAUGUAGUAUUCUAUUGCCAUAAGAACCGAGACUGUCCAAAAGCUUUACAUACAAAACAUGAAAAGUGCGGUUCCUGUUAACCUGAACUCUUUGCGUAGCUGGAGAUGGAAAAUUUCCCCUCCUGGUCCCUCUUUGUUGUGUGUGAAAAGGAGAUAACAAAGAGGGACCUUGGGUCUGGCUUAAUGAUUCUGCAAUUCUAGUCAAAUUAUUACUGUGUUCUUAACACAUCUUGAAUUCAUUUCGGCAGGUGGGAUUCUCUCUAAGAAGUUGAAGGAAUUUGCCACAGAACCUCUCAUUUCUAAAAACUUGAAAUGGUCACGUUUCUGAGUGUAAAUGACCCUCACGCUGCUCCACCCCAAACCUCUGCAUACGUGUCAGUUGGAAAACUUCUGUAUUUAGCCAUUGAGGAAGUAGCUUUUAAAAACUUUUGAAAAGGAAUUUAUUUUUCGAUAAGUAUGUUCUUCUAGGUAAAUUAAGAUGUUUACAGGGCCAAGCUCUAGUUGUUACAACAUCUUUGACUUCUGUAGGUGCUCUGCUUCUUAUUUAAGCUCCUUUAAGAUCUUUAGCAAUUAAGCUAUACUGAUAAAGCUAUGUGUUCUUAUCUUGUCUCCUCUUUUAGCUUAGAGGAAAUAAUUUGUGCGUUAUAUCAGGGAAAAGAGCUAGAAAGUGUGAAAUCUGAUCCCCGUUCUGCCUUUUGGUGACCUAUAGGAAAUUGGUUCAGCACAUCAUUUCAGUUUUCUUGUCUGUGUGAUAGGUAAAUUCUAGUCUCAUCCAUCUUCCAAGCUGUUCUGCAGCUCUUUAAGUAUUUAAAAAGAUACCAAACCUUUUAAUAAAGCAGAUUUGUAUCAUUUUUAUUGAAGUAAAAAUUAGGUUAUCUGGAGUUUACAAUAACUGUGAAUUUCAGAUUAACUGUGAAAACUUUCUGUUGAAAUCAGUGUAUCCCACUUGCUUGGAAAGAUUUUUCUAUUCCAUUAUUCAUUACAGGGGCCUUAAAAUUAUACUCCAGUGACAAAGCCUCUAUUUAUUUUUAGACGAUCGGCAUCCACUUCUGGCUGACCUAGAAUGUUUCUUUGAUGACAAUGUCUGUGAUCCAGCUGGGUUUGCUGAAUGGUUGAAUAAACAAAGACAGAUAGUAAAAUGUGGGAAAGAAAAGGCUAUUUUUAUGAUAUUAGGAGAAUCUGUCCAGCCAACUCCAGGCCUGGUUCUAAAUGUCAUAUCUGUAACCGUACACUCCAGCUAAGUACCCUUGUGGUCUCCAUAAUAUCUCUGGAAUUUUAUCAUUGGAUUUCAAGGUUAUGAGAAGGCUGAGAGCAAAACAUUGAGAAUGAAGGUGAUUCGCAAAAAAAGGCAAUUGGUUCGUUAUCCGGCCGCUUCCUUCCUGAAGUAUGUAGGUUAAAUACAUGGAACUAAGAGGAUAAAUAUAAGCUUGUUGGGUUUUUUCUCCUUUUUUUAAUUUUUUUUUUUUUCCUUUUCCCUUACCAUUUUUGCAUUGUUUCAUUUGCUGACCACUUAUGUUUUAUUGCAAAAGCUUCCAAAUCAGCUUAUUUUUUUGGAUGCUAAUGCUGCCUGUAGGCAAAGAGCUCCAGGUAGCAGAAUAAACACAGGUCUCUCGUUUUGACUAAAAUCAAAAGGGUAUUUCACUACACAGCAUCAUGAUCUGAAUUUCUCUCUCUAGUUCAAAAAGAAGAGACUAAAAAAGUUAUUGGUUACCAUGCAAGAAGGUGUCAGAGGGCAAAAUUUGGCCACAGUUCACUUUAGGGAAAGUUUAUCUGUAAUGUGAGAACUAAGACCAAGUGGUGAAUAACUUUCUUGUGCAUAUUUAAAUUAAGUUUCUAACUUACAAAUCUAACUUCAGUUUCUGUAUUACAAAUAAUAGAGAGUAAUGAAAAGAACAUCCUGCUAUUCGAGUUCUGACAACUCAGUUGUCAGUUUUAGCUUUGCACUAAUUGCAGCUCACAACUCACAUCCUCACUGGAGAAAGAGACCCGGCGAGUCCCGGCAUCCUAUGGGCUGUAGUAGCGGUUUGGGCCAAUGAAAACCUUUAUUUCCACUGUAAAAGCAAUGACACAGCUCAAGACUUCCAGCUUGAGUAUUGUCAAAAUAUUUUAACAGCAAAAAAUGGUUGGUUUCACAAUUUUUGUUUAGUGGUCGUUGCAUGUCUGAAAAAGAAACCAUUUUUAGUAUGUGUAAAAUAACCAGAUGUGCUCCAGCUUUUAACUACGGCCGCUGUCCUAUCAGCAGAGGGUUUAUUUCUACCACAUGGAACUAUUAGAGCACCCGACAAACGCUCUGCAGGAACGUUCUGCAAUCACAAUCUGCGUGUUUGUCUUGGGUUGGGAGCUUUAAAGGAUUUAUUUAGAAGCCUUUGUGUUUAUCUGCUUCCAGAAUGUAAAAAAUGAUCUUUUCACAUAUAAUAUGCUAAGCUUGAUGGCUUCCGUGUAAUUUUCCAUGGUUCAUACUUUCUGCAGUAAUAAAUAAAAUGUAAUAAGAAUAAAUUAUAAAUAUUUAUAAGACUAUUUUUGUCUUUUAUUAGGUUCUUAUGACUUAGAAUUUAAUAUCCCAGCCAAAGCUUCGGUCGGAGCUCUUCUCUCUAACAAUGACUGCUCAGAACUUUAUAGUUGACGACUGAUGUAGUUGACUGCAAAAAACCUGCCCUGUAUGAGUGCCAAGGAAAGCAUCCGGUGAGACAGACCAAACAAACCAGCAAACCUUAGACAUGCACCACGGGGUUAGGGACUUCAGAUGACCCAGGCACAUUCCAGUUCCAUCCUUGUGCCCCUGGCUCUAUUAGUCACUCUUAUGGACCUGGUUGUGUGCCAAGUGUGCCAGAUAUUUCUUUUAAUAUUAAAAGAAUUUUUAAAAAGCAUUCUUAGCGUUCUAGAAGAGUUGCUUUUUAUAAACGUGUUACUUUCUAUGCGUAAAUUUGUAUCACAAAUAAUGUAGAUUAUUUACCAAAUCUUUUCUGAAAGUUUUUCUUGUGAAAUCUGGACUUAACUUAUAUGGAAAAGAAUGUGGUUGAUGGUGCGAGGAAAGAAAUAAACAAAGUCUUCUUUUAGUUUCUGAAAAAUAUUUAGUCCCUCUUGUUUCGUGCCCAGGCUCAAAACUGAAAUAUUUCCUUAAUUUGGCUUAUGUUGAUGUACAACAGUUUUGUUUUUCAUUUCCCUUGUAAAACAUGUUGUUCCCAGUGUCAUGAAAAUCCAGCCAUAUGUACGUUCCUCUGUGGUUGUUCGUAUGCCCGGGCUGGGAGUUGUAUUUUAUAUCAGUUCUGCCAUUUCAGGGCUCGAAGGGCAACGUCUGCUUCUUUUCACCUCUCCUGUGUAGAUGUAGCUUACCAAGAUUUUCCUGCAGUUUGCAUCACUUUUUGAUUUAGUUACUUUUAUAUAGCAGGACAAUGAAAUCAGGGUUUUUUAGUUGCCACUGACAACCUCUAAGAUUCUUUUAAAGGUGGAAGAAAAAUUUCUUGUGCUCACAACAGCUUCCCGGUUUUCUCCUGGAUUCAGAUUAUUGAACAUGAAAAAGCCAAGCAAUAGAUACAAGGCUGCAGGUACCUUUUCUCAUCUGGAGAGAGCCUGGUGUCCCAGGACAGCCUGCAGCUGCAGAUAUUCCACUUGCCAAACCUGCGGUGAUGAGAUGUUGGGCGAGCAAAUCUCUCUCUUGAGCAGGUUGAGGAUGCCAAUUUCAAACCCAGAUGCCAAGGACAACCCCAAAAGACCCUGAGAAGCCCAAGAGCUCUUAGGUGGCUUGACUUGGUGCGGUUCUUCAACAUUGAACAAGGAAACUCUGCUCAAUGAGAUAAAGGACCAAGCAUGCUCAAGAGGUAGAUUUGCUUUUCCUUCUACCUGCAUAGUCGUCAUCUUCUUGUUAAAUAUAGGCAAGUUUUCAGUAAGAGCAGCAAAGCAUUGAGUCAGGAACGUGUCUACAAGACUGCAAACCCCCUCCCACACUUUCAUCCACCCCUUGGAAGUUCAAGAGGACCAGUGGUGUUGUGCUCUAGUGACUCAUCCUUGACCAUAAAAUGAUGGUAGGGCAGAGUAAAGCAACUAGGACUUUGCAACAGGCUACAGAAGUGAUGGGUUUACACUGUGCGAACCUGGUUGGCCAUGGUUGCUGGAAGUGCCAAAAUUCCAAUGUUUAGAAGCGUUUCCCAAUCAAUCCUGCUGUCAGCAGCGUUUGUUAGUGCCAGGGGAUGUAACGUGUUUGCUGUCUCUUCAUUGGUGAAUGUCUUCUGGUAAUGUUUACAUCAUUGCAUGGGUCCUUGAGUUACUUCUCAGUUGUUUCUCAAGGCAAAACCAAGUUUGGCCCAAGGGGGGCACUUGGAUACAAGCUGCACUUUCACUGUGUGCUGCCACUUGGGAUUGUGUUGGCCUUGGAUCUUAGUAACAGUUAUAACGAUGAAGCUGGAUUCUAAAACACGAGGGCAAUUCAGUGCCGGUGUCUGCUCCAAGAGUGCUCGCAUCCCUCAGCAGCGUGGCCUUGGUGGCUGUCCCAAUACAAACCCAAGAUGCAGAACGUGCGGCUGUGCAGGUUAAGAAAUAUGCAGAUAUUUUUACCUUCCCUCUUUCCUCCCCACAAUGAACUGGGGGAAACAGGAGCUGCUCUGCACACCCCAGAGCUGUCAGAGUUCCAAGAUGUUCUGCAGGAGCAGAGUAUGGAGAGUUCACAUUUGUCCUCUUGACUUUAAUUGAAGGUAUUUGGUCAUUGCAGCUUUUCUCUUGAACAAGUUAACUUCAGACCCACAAGACUGGAUUAAUUAGGUAGUAAGCACAUGAUUUUAUGCCAGUGGUUUAACGAAAAUAACAACCAAGCCUUUUGUUAAGGGAUGCAGGCAGCUCAUUUUCUUAUGGGCAAAUUAUUCCCUGAUGAGGAGGAGGAGCUGUUUUGCUCCUCUUAUGAGGUUGAUUUGCUCUAUGUGUUCACUGCAUGGGCAGUCCAGCUCCUUGCGUUGAGCUUUUCCAGCAAAUAAUGCAUGUUGUGAACCUCCUGGGCGAGGUGUCCAGCCCUAGAGCUGCCCCGCUCUGCUUGGUGACCCAGGACACCUUUGGGUGACUCUUGGCCAGGGUUUGUUUGGUCUUGUGAAGUCAUUUAGUGACUUUCUAAAGUAGUCUCUUAAUUAACAGUGGGCUUUUCUGUCAACUCAAAGCAUCUGCAUUGCUGAAAGCUCAUCACGUGUAAGGCUGUAUGCAAUAAAUUAGAGCUAGGAUUUAUUGUAUUUUUUUAAAGUACCAAGAACUGAAGUCCCAGUGUCACUCCUGUUGACAGCACUUGCACCACGACUGCAGAGAAAGAACUUACCUUGCAAUAAUUAGGUUAAUUUGGGGUAUGUUCUGUUGUGUGUAUUCCAUAGCCUGGUCUGUUCAGAAGCUGCUCUGCCUGGGGAUGUGGUAGAUGAUGGAAUUAUCACCAGUUGGUGCACAGAACAGUCCUGUGUUUCAGAAACAUCCUGGAAAAACAUAUCACCGGUGUUUAGAACAUAAUUAAAUACAAAAAUCUAAGAAAAAGUUAAUUUUUGCAUGUUGGCCACUCAUCAUGUCGGGGAAAAAAAUAUCUUACAGCCUGUAUGGAAAAAGGGAGCACUUGGUAAUUCCUUUACAAAAACUGAUUUUUGCAAAGCUUUAACAUAUUCCUGCCAAAGAAGAGAACAGGUUGGAUGCUUUACUUUUGUUAAGAAAUGGUAGAAUAACAAAUGUUUUUCUGAUCCCUUAAGUAAUUUACUCCCUUGGCAACAUUCUUCGUUGAUAACAUAAUUAGUUUUUAUUUUGAAGAAUGAUCCAGAAACUGGCUAGAGGAUAACGGAUUAAAGGAUAUAUUGCGAAAAUACCCUACUGAAUAUAUGCUUUAUGUUAGUAUUUUCCUAUUUAUUAAUAUCCUGUAUAAAAAAUAUUUAAACCCGUAUGGGUGGAAGGAUUUUGCUGUCUUGGUAAAAUACAUGGGCUUACAUAAAAAUACUCUCUAAUUUACUACCACUGUUAGUCCUGUUACGUCCAGGCUGAAGGAUUCUAAAAAAGAAAUUUAUUUUCUUGAUGUCAAACAGAUGUGUAAAAAAAAAAAGAAAGUUUUUAUUUUCUUCAGAUUUUACUGAUAGAGGGGAAAUUUUGUUUUUUCAUGGGCUGCCUUGGUGAUUUUCUCUGAUAUUGAUGUUUGUGGAAGAUGCAGACUAAGGCGUUUUGAAAAAGUGUGAUUUGGAUGCUUGUGUAAAAAUUCGUGAUAUAUAGGAAGAAUGAGACAAGGAGUUUUUAUAAAUCAAAAAUGAAAGUUUUCUCAAGUUUUUUCUAUUUUAGAGAGUGAUUAGAAAGUCCCAUUUUCUCCUCUACCUGUUUGCCAAGCAGAGCCCCAUGAACUCACGGAAAGCCGGAGUGUAUAACGUGGUUUGCUUUGAGCUGCGUUUCCAGCUGCAUCUGCUUUCUUUCAGUUGACAAAAAUUUAACUCCGCUCAGCAAAGGAGUAAGAAAUAUGUAUUUGGAACGUACAUCCUGAAAAUUGUAGCUAGCAGAUAGUGAAUUGCCAUGAAGAGGGUGCUCACGUUUCAGGAGGAAUGUUAAAGAUGAGCUAUUUUAGAGCGAGGAAUCCUUCCCUACACUUAGUGUAGAUUCUGCAUCACACCCUGAGAUAGUGAAGAGCGUGAAAUUGGUAAGAACUUACAUACUUUUCUGCUAUUUAAUAAUUAUCUUUGAGUCUCUUAGUUUUCCCGGUUGUUUUUUGUUGAGGGUGCAAUAAGUUCACGUCAGGCUGUGAGAUUUAUAUUCACGGUUUUUAAUAAUGUUUCAGUACUGAACAAAAUUAAUAAGUAUUAUUAUUAGUCACUUCAGCUGUCAUCACACGUCCGUUUGCUGAAGGAAUACUGUGCUCCGUAGUAUCAGUUUCAGUUGUUCUGUCACGUAUAAAUGUAACUUUAAGUUGCAGCGCUUUGAUGUGUUUUUCAAUUCUGCGAUCGAGUCUUUCAUUUCAAAAACAUUUUCCUGCCGCUAAGAUUCAGCUUGGGAUUUUUCUUAAUUUGCAACAGCAGCGAAGAAAAGAAGUUGACUGUAUUGGGAGCCUUUCCUAUCAUUUCAAGUGUGACUUUGUGUGUUGCAGGGCGCACAGCUGAUCGCGGUGGCUUCUGCAGAGCCCACCUCAGGGGGCGUCGAUGGGUCCCCGCUCCAGGGGAGCGACAUCCAGGUCCAGUACGUGCAGCUGACCCCGGUGACAGACCACUCUGCGGCUAA